GAUGAACGCUGGCGGCGUGCCUAAUACAUGCAAGUCGAGCGAACGGACGAGAAGCUUGCUUCUCUGAUGUUAGCGGCGGACGGGUGAGUAACACGUGGAUAACCUACCUAUUAGACUGGGGUAACUUCGGGAAACCGGAGCUACUACCGGCUCAUAUUUUCAACCGCAUGGAUCAAAAGUGCAUGACGGUCUUGCUGUCACUUAUAGCUGGAUCCGGGUUGCAUUAGCUAGUUGGUAAGGUAACGGCUCACCAAGGCAACGAUGCGUAGCCGACCUGAGAGGGUGAUCAGCCACACUGGAACUGAGACACGGUCCAGACUCCUACGGGAGGCAGCAGUGGGGAAUCUUCCACAAUGGGCGAAAGCCUGACGGAGCAACGCCGCGUGAGUGAUGAAGGUCUUCGGAUCGUAAAACUCUGUUAUUAGGGAAGAACAUAUGUGUAAGUAACUGUGCACAUCUUGACGGUACCUAAACAGAAAGCCACGGCUAACUACGUG
rnacentral:rRNA from 1 species